rnacentral:rRNA from 1 species
UACGAAGGGGGCUAGCGUUGCUCGGAAUUACUGGGCGUAAAGGGAGCGUAGGCGGGUUAUCAAGUUGGGGGUGAAAGCCCGGGGCUCAACCUCGGAAUUGCCUUCAAAACUGGUAGCCUAGAGUAUGAUAGAGGUAUGUGGAACUCCGAGUGUAGAGGUGAAAUUCGUAGAUAUUCGGAGGAACACCAGAAGCGAAGGCGGCCAACUGGCCCGAUACUGACGCUGAGGCGCGAAAGCGUGGGGAGCAAACAGG